rnacentral:sRNA from 1 species
UACGCGGUUGUCGGGGCCUGGAUAAGUG